UUUUGAGAUCGACGGUUAAAAAUGUUACUUAAUUUUGAACCAUUGGAUAAAUAAUAGAUCAAACGGCUGGCAGAAAAACCCUAGUCGCCAGUGAGGGUUAGAGGGUUUUUAAAGACGAGGAGGCCCUUUAAGCUCAGCCUCUUUCUCCCACUCUCUCCUGAAAGCCUUCGGCGACUCUAUCUCGGGAGAGUUCAUCUUCUUCUCGAGAUUUUUACUAUUUUCCUUUAAAAGUUUACAAUGGGAAAGGAGAAGGUUCACAU